UUACGACCACAUCAUGUUAAAACACCGAUUCCCGUACGAUUAUCGAAGUUAAGCAACGUCGGGCCUGGCCAAUACUUAGAUGGGUAACCGAUUGGGAAUACCAGGU